rnacentral:tRNA from 1 species
GAAAUAUUUAUAAAUCUAAGCUUCUAACUUAGAAAAAAGCAUUCAAUGUUUAUAUUUCU